rnacentral:lncRNA from 1 species
CAGUGUUCCCAAGUCCAGUGGAUCAGUAAGAAGCAGCUGUACCUGACACUGAAAGUAGAGGAGUCCAAUGCCAGUUUCCUCUUGUUCUUUUUCAGAGCUGCAACAGUGAGACACCUUCAGUCCUCAGAUGUCAAGACUUGUAGCUUCUUGAUAAUGCACCAAAGAUGCCAGUCUGGGAGGGGACUGAAGCCAUCCAGCUCCUGGGGAACCUCCUACUGCUAUGAGGAAAAGAGCGAUGACUGCACUUGCUGCUUUGAGCUGAGAGGGGUUGAUGUGCAGUGGGGCCAGCAGUUUGGUGCCCCUUUUUCAAGGGGUCCAUGGUAAAAAUCUGGUUUACCUGUGGAUGGGUGCUUCUAUGAGAGAAACAAAAAGACUUGAGUACUGAAAUAAGAUUAAUACAAAAUAGCAGUUGUAGUAUCUGUAGAAACAAUAAUCUUUCACCAAGAGGUAUAAGAAUUGAGAAGCUGUUACCAUAACAUGGCCAGCCUAACAAAGUCUAGGAAGCUUUUAUUUGGGAAUGUAAAUCUUUAACAUUGUCAGAGUUAUCAGGAAUGUAAGCACAACAUUUAGUUAAGCUACUUAAUGUCAUCUGAUUUUUGUAAAAUGUCUUUUUAUUGACAUGAUCUCUGGGUCAGUAGAGAUCCCUUUAUCUUUGUUACUUAGGGCUAGAUAAUUAUACUAGUAAAUGCUGAUUAAGUCUACCUGUGUAGGAGGUUAGGAAGAUCUGUAAGCCUUAAAACUUCUAGCUCUGUUAGUUUCUCUUGGUAGUUAUCAGGCAUUCUUGCCUAAGAAUCACUCUUAUGUUGCCUUCAGUUUUACUUAUUGUAGGGGACUAACCCAAGUGUACAUCUUAAAUUACAUUAAAAUAACUAUUAUUUCUUAAAUACCCAAGAAUGGCUGUGUUUUGGUUUUAACUUUUUUUGCUGGAUCAAGCUGGUCACCUGACCUUGCUCCUAUCUAUUGUUAAAAGAGUCAGCUGAGUUCCCUUGGGGAACACUCUUGGGGAACUUCUGAGUAGCCUUUUAGCUCUGCUAGUGCCAUCUGCGCUAGGCUGGGUCAUGGUCUUACUGACCAUGUAGUGUCCUUUGGAAGCAUCAGGGAUGUUUUCCCUUUCCAAUGAGCCUCUUCUUUUGCAGCAUGUGUAGUUGGACACAAUACCUUUAUUUUAUAAAUUUAUUUGUAUGUGGUGCUAGG